rnacentral:lncRNA from 1 species
UGCUUUUAUAGGCAUUAUUUUAUUCCAGGAUUGAAGCAUCUUUAAGAAAGUGAUGUUACUCCCCAUUUACAGAUGAGAAAACUGAAGCUGCCUUCAGUUGGAGUAAAUUAGGUAGUAGAUUUUCUGACCCUAGUGGGAUUCAGGCAGUUUGAGAGGAUUGGAUUAAUUGACCUCUAAAAAACAUCUUCCCAACCUCAAGAGUGUCUCACGCUUUCCCUUUCCGUUCUUCUUGCAACAGCCUGAUGUAGAGUUAAGGGAGGAACAGUACAGGUGAGGAAGUUGUCAGGUGUUCUUGCAUUUUGAUAGAAUAAACAAAGUUGCAGGCAGAUUUGGAUAUUGUGAAAGGGUGUAGAAUCUUCACAUGGCAACUCUGUCUCGUUUUCUUUUUUGUUUUCCUCAGAGUUUCAAGGAAAAGCUGGUAGGAGUAAUUAUAGCUUAAUUACUGCCACUCAUUUACAAAAGCCUUCAAGGGCUUAAAGUUCCCUCCCUCAUGCUACGAGGAAGGUUGCCCUGCCCACAUUCCUGCCAGGUGGAGGGAGAGAAUGAUUCAGAGGUUGAAAUUAAUGGGGUAAGGUAGAGAGAUCAUCGUUGUUGUUAAGAAUAGUUGAUAUUAACUUUUUCAGUAGUAACACGGAGGUCUUACCUGUAUAUGGUGAGCUACAGUUUGCCAAACCCUUCCCUGUUCUUGAUCCUCACUGUGACCCUGCGAGGUGGGGAGGGAUUAUCAUUCCAGUUUUAGAGAUUAAAAUUGAGGCUUGAAAACUUGGAGUCAUUUGUUAAAAGUUAAAUAGCUGCUAAGUGGCAGAGCCGAGACUUCGUUCCUUCUGCCAGGUGUUAAGCACUUGUACAGGUGCUGGAGAUAAAUCAGUGAACAAAACAGUCAAAAAUGUUCCUGUUUAGGUUGAAUCUGGUUCCCUUGAUUCCAGCUUUCGUGCUGAUGGGUUUUUGCUGGCGUUUCCCUGUACCUUCUGAACUCUAGUCCCCCCCUCCCCACCUCAUUUUUUACCACUCUCUUCCUUGCUCAGCCACACUGGCUCCAAGGCCUUCAUACUUACUGUUUACUCUGUCUGGAAUACUCUCCUCAUAUAGCCAUAUGCCUUACUUCCCCCACCUUUGUAAGGUCUUGACACAAAAUCACCUCAGUGUGUCAAGCACUCCCCAUCAUCACUGUCAGCAUCCCCUAACCUCCUUCCUUUUAUAUUUCUUCUCAGCAUUUAAUACCUUUAACAUACUCUGUAAAUAAUUGGCCAAUGAAUGAACAUGGAUACUUAACUCUAGUACUUCUGUUAAUACCAUUAGAAAUUUUCAUGGCUGUCUGUCAGAUCUCUCUGUUUCUCUCUUUGUUUUAUUUGAUAAUCUGUCAGGAUUUUGGCUUUUUUUUUUUUUUUUUUUUUUUUUUUUUUGUCUUUUUAGGGCCACACCAGGGGCGUGUGGAGGGUCCGUGGGCUAGGGGUUGAAUUGGAGCUGCAGCUGCCAGUCUACACCACAGCAACACCAGAUCUGAGCCACAUCUGUGACCUACACCACAGCUCCUGGCAACGCUGGAUCCUUAACCCACUGAGUGAAGAGGCCAGGGAUCAAACCUGCAUCCUCAUGGAUACUAGUCAGGUUCAUUAACCACUGAGCCACAAUGGGAGUUUAAAUUUCACCAGAGUUUAAAUAUGGUUUUCUAGAUCUUGGUUUUCUCUUAAAUUGAUGCCUACUGUAACUUUAACAGUACUUAUUUACUAUUUAGAAAAAUAAUUUGAUUGAAGAUAUCUUCAUGUGAGAAAUCUCUCAUAUCUUAACACCAGUCAUCCAUUGCUAUGUGACAAGCCAUCCCAAAUCAUAGCGGUGUAAACCAGCCAUUGUCAGGCUCAUGACUGGGCAUCAGGAUUUUGGACAGGGCAAAGCAGGGAUGGUUUGUUGCUGCUGCACCAUGUUUGGAGCCCCUGCUAGAAAGACUCAUCACCUGGGAUGACUCACCAGGUGCUGUCCUCACUUUCAUGUCCAAUAGUUGGUGCUGACUUUCAGCAGGGACACCUACAUGUGGCCUGGGCCUCUGGACAGCAUGGUGGCUGGAUUCCAAGAGUGAGAUUUUCAAGAGACAGCAAGAGGAGGCUAGGAGUUCCCGCUGUGGCGCAAGGGAAUCAGUGGCGUUUUGGGAGCCCUGGGAUGCAGGUUUGAUCUCCGGGCCUGGCGCAGUGGGUUAAGGAUCCAGUGUUGUUGCAGCUAUGGCUUAGGUCACCACUGCAGCUUGGAUCCAAUCCCUGGCUGGGGAACUCCAUAUGCCACAGGGCAGCCAAAAAAUAAAAAAAUUUAAAAAAAUCACCAUAGAUGUAUCUGUAGUUCUCUUAUAUAAUUUUUAUAAUAUCUUGUUCUAUUCCCAACCGCCCCCCUUGGAGAAGAGUAUUCAGCUAGUUAACAAAUCUUUGUUGGUAUCCUUUUUUUCCCUUCCUGUUUUUUGGAUUAUGUCUGUCAUGUUCAUUGCCACAUCAAGGUGUCCGGAAGAGUGCCUGACACAUGGCAGCAAUUCAGUAAAUAUCUGAUGAAUGAAUGGAUUGUAAGCAGGAAUUUUAUUCAGCUUUUAUCCCUAAUUACCCAGUACCCUGAUUGGUACGUAGUAAGUAUUCUUUAUAUUUCUCUGAAGGAAUGAUUAAAGAAAACUCUUGUAUGAGUUUUCUUGUGUCAGGAGAAUUUGCUUGGUUUCUUGUUGCUUUAAUACUGUAGGCAGCCGUGUAGCAGUUACCCUUCCACUGCCACAAAUGGUGGUUGCUGAUGCAGUGACAUCUUCAGCAGUACACAUGUCAGUGAUGACUGUUGUAAUGGCUCCUUUUAGAACCGUACAACAAGGAGUUGCAAAGACCUUUAUCGCUAUAUUGACCUGCUCCUUUCAAUUCACAAAUGUGGAAACUGA